rnacentral:rRNA from 1 species
GGGGGAUAUUGCACAAUGGAGGAAACUCUGAUGCAGCAACGCCGCGUGAGGGAAGAAGGUCUUCGGAUUGUAAACCUUUGUCCUUGGUGACGAUAAUGACGGUAGCCAAGGAGGAAGCUCCGGCUAACUACGUGCCAGCAGCCGCGGUAAUACGUAGGGAGCAAGCGUUGUCCGGAUUUACUGGGUGUAAAGGGUGCGUAGGCGGCUCUGCAAGUCAGGCGUGAAAUACAUGGGCUUAACCCAUGGACUGCGUUUGAAACUGUGGAGCUUGAGUGGAGUAGAGGUAGGCGGAAUUCCCGGUGUAGCGGUGAAAUGCGUAGAGAUCGGGAGGAACACCAGUGGCGAAGGCGGCCUACUGGGCUUUAACUGACGCUGAGGCACGAAAGCAUGGGUAGCAAAC